rnacentral:misc_RNA from 1 species
GAAAUGCGAUACUUGGUGUGAAUUGCAGAAUCCCGUGAACCAUCGAGUCUUUGAACGCAAGUUGCGCCUGAAGCCAUUAGGCCAAGGGCACGCCUGCCUGGGUGUCGCACAUCGUUGCCCCAAUCCCUUAGCCUCGUGCUAGGCAUCGAACGGGGUGAAAGUUGGCUUCCCGCGAGUAAGGACUCACGGUUGGUUGAAAAUUGAGUCCGUGGUGGAGGGCGCCGCGAUGGAUGGUGGUUGAGUAAAAGCUCGAGACCGAUCGCGCGUGUCACCCUACUGCAUUUGGGAUUUUGUGACCCGUGAGCGGCAGUUGGUUGCCCACGACGGGACCUCAGGUCAGGCGGGGCUACCCGCUGAGUUUAAGC